rnacentral:rRNA from 1 species
GAGUUUGAUCAUGGCUCAGAUUGAACGCUGGCGGCAUGCCUUACACAUGCAAGUCGAACGGCAGCACGGGAGCAAUCCUGGUGGCGAGUGGCGAACGGGUGAGUAAUAUAUCGGAACGUGCCCAGUCGUGGGGGAUAACGUAGCGAAAGCUACGCUAAUACCGCAUACGAUCUACGGAUGAAAGCGGGGGACUCGCAAGAGCCUCGCGCGAUUGGAGCGGCCGAUAUCAGAUUAGGUUGUUGGUGAGGUAAAAGCUCACCAAGCCUGCGAUCUGUAGCUGGUCUGAGAGGACGACCAGCCACACUGGAACUGAGACACGGUCCAGACUCCUACGGGAGGCAGCAGUGGGGAAUUUUGGACAAUGGACGCAAGUCUGAUCCAGCAAUGCCGCGUGCAGGACGAAGGCCUUCGGGUCGUAAACUGCUUUUGUACGGAACGAAACGGUCUUCUUUAAUACAGAGGGCUAAUGACGGUACCGUAAGAAUAAGCACCGGCUAACUACGUGCCAGCAGCCGCGGUAAUACGUAGGGUGCGAGCGUUAAUCGGAAUUACUGGGCGUAAAGCGUGCGCAGGCGGUUAUAUAAGUCAGAUGUGAAAUCCCCGGGCUCAACCUGGGACCUGCAUUUGAGACUGUAUAGCUAGAGUACGGUAGAGGGGGAUGGAAUUCGCGUGUAGCAGUGAAUGCGUAGAAUGCGGAGAACACCGAUGGC